GGCUGGAUGGCCGAGUGGUCUAAGGCGGUAGACUCAAGAUAUUCGUAUCUUUCCCAGAACCAUCUGGGAAGUAUUCUACUCUCGCAAGAGGCGCGCGUUCGAAUCGCGCUUCAGUCA